AUGACCGUGACGCUGCAGGAUAUUGCUAUGAUCACCGGUCUUCCUAUCGAUGGCAAUCCUUUAUGUAUGAACACCGAUUCUGAUGGGUGGCGCGCGCAGAUGCAUGCCCUUAUCGGUAUGGUUCCUCCGGAGCCUCGGGAACCAGAAGCAGAAGAUAAGAAGAAGGAAAGAGUCGCAGCGGGCGCUACUUUCACGUGGAUAUCAUCGAACUUCAGUCAUUGCCCUGAGGAUGCUAAUGAGGACAUGGUGAAGACAUAUGCUCGUGUCUACAUGUGGUACGUGAUAUCCAGGACAAUGUUUGCUGAUGGCACAGGCAAGAAUGCUCCAUGGAUGUGGCUGAAGGCAUUGACCGUCUUCGAUAGCAAAUGGAGUUAG
rnacentral:rRNA from 1 species